rnacentral:rRNA from 1 species
UACGGAGGGAGCUAGCGUUAUUCGGAAUUACUGGGCGUAAAGCGCACGUAGGCGGUUACUCAAGUCAGAGGUGAAAGCCUGGAGCUCAACUCCAGAACUGCCUUUGAAACUAGGUGACUUGAAUCCAGGAGAGGUGAGUGGAAUUCCGAGUGUAGAGGUGAAAUUCGUAGAUAUUCGGAAGAACACCAGUGGCGAAGGCGGCUCACUGGACUGGUAUUGACGCGUGAGGUGGCGAAAAGCGUGGGGAGCAAACAGG